ACGCUCGACACCUACAGGAGGCAGCAGUCGGGAAUAUUGCGCAAUGGAGGAAACUCUGACGCAGUGACGCCGCGUAUAGGAAGAAGGUUUUCGGAUUGUAAACUAUUUGUCGUUAGGGAAGAUACAAGACAGUACCUAAGGAGGAAGCACCGGCUAACUAUGUGCCAGAAGCCGCGGUAAUCUGAGCGGGCUGGCAAGGC
rnacentral:rRNA from 1 species